rnacentral:rRNA from 1 species
UGCCUGCGGAGGGAUCAUUACAAGUGACCCCGGUCUAACCACCGGGAUGUUCAUAACCCUUUGUUGUCCGACUCUGUUGCCUCCGGGGCGACCCUGCCUUCGGGCGGGGGCUCCGGGUGGACACUUCAAACUCUUGCGUAACUUUGCAGUCUGAGUAAACUUAAUUAAUAAAUUAAAACUUUUAACAACGGAUCUCUUGGUUCUGGCAUCGAUGAAGAACGCAGCGAAAUGCGAUAAGUAAUGUGAAUUGCAGAAUUCAGUGAAUCAUCGAAUCUUUGAACGCACAUUGCGCCCCCUGGUAUUCCGGGGGGCAUGCCUGUUCGAGCGUCAUUUCACCACUCAAGCCUCGCUUGGUAUUGGGCAACGCGGUCCGCCGCGUGCCUCAAAUCGACCGGCUGGGUCUUCUGUCCCCUAAGCGUUGUGGAAACUAUUCGCUAAAGGGUGCUCGGGAGGCUACGCCGUAAAACAAACCCAUUUCUAAGGUUGACCUCGGAUCAGGUAGGGAUACCCGCUGAACUUAAGCAUAUCAAAA